rnacentral:lncRNA from 1 species
UCCACCCAAACACACACCAUCCACCAGUUCAUCUCACUGAGCUCGCAGGCAGCCCCAGCCACCAGCGAAAUGGCCGCGUCGGCGCUGCACCAGACGACCAGCUUCCUCGGCACCGCCCCGCGGCGUGAUGACCUCGUCCGCAGCGUCGGCGACUUCGGCGGCCGCAUCACCAUGCGCCGGACCGUCAAGAGCGCGCCCCAGAGCAUCUGGUACGUGCUGCUAGUAUUUCCCAUGGUUCUCUUCUCUCUCCCCGCGACAUUCAUCAUAUCACUGGACUAAUGCACCUUUUUGAUGGAUGGAUGAAUGUGUAGGUACGGCCCUGACCGUCCCAAGUACCUGGGCCCGUUCUCCGAGCAGACCCCGUCGUACCUGACCGGCGAGUUCCCCGGCGACUACGGGUGGGACACCGCCGGAUUGUCGGCUGACCCAGAGACCUUCGCCAAGAACCGGGAGCUGGAGGUGAUCCACUCACGGUGGGCGAUGCUCGGCGCCCUGGGGUGCGUGUUCCCGGAGAUCCUGUCCAAGAACGGCAUCAAGUUCGGCGAGGCCGUGUGGUUCAAGGCCGGUGCCCAGAUCUUCUCCGAGGGCGGCCUCGACUACCUGGGCAACCCCAACCUGGUGCACGCGCAGAGCAUCCUCGCCAUCUGGGCGGUUCAGGUGGUGCUCAUGGGCUUCAUCGAGGGUUACCGCGUUGGUGGCGGCCCCCUCGGCGAGGGCCUCGACAUCAUCUACCCAGGCGGCGCCUUCGACCCACUUGGCCUCGCCGACGACCCCGACACCGCAGCUGAGCUCAAGGUCAAGGAGCUCAAGAACGGCCGCCUCGCCAUGUUCUCCAUGUUCGGCUUCUUCGUGCAGGCCAUCGUCACCGGAAAGGGGCCCGUAGAGAACCUCUUCGACCACGUCGCCGACCCGGUCAACAACAACGCGUGGGCCUUCGCCACCAACUUCGCCCCCGGAAGCUAAAUGUGUUAAGCCAUCUGUCCGUCCAUCGGACGAGAUAUGCAUGUGUACUUGUACGUCGUGGAUCAACGUGUAGCUGCACGUACUUUGUGUGUUUAUUUGUACCAUGAUCGAGCGAGCGAGAUGACCUCUCGCUGGCUGCGCGCAAUGUAAAUUAAUUAAGCACGAGAUGCACGAGCAAAUGGAUGGAAGAAUCGUGUAUCAUUAGUACAUUACUCGAGAUCAUCAACUGGCAUGGCGUAUAUGGUACUUCAAGCUCAUGAAACGGGACAUUCGCAACGGCAUACGGAGAUCCAACGGGCCAACUAUACAACUCUGUCUUUGUGGCUAUUCUUGGUUCAG